rnacentral:rRNA from 1 species
CCUACGGGAGGCUGCAGUGGGGAAUAUUGGACAAUGGGGGCAACCCUGAUCCAGCCAUGCCGCGUGUGUGAAGAAGGCCCUCGGGUUGUAAAGCACUUUCAGUGAGGAAGAACGCCUGGUGGUUAAUACCCAUCAGGAAAGACAUCACUCACAGAAGAAGCACCGUCUAACUCCGUGCCAGCAGCCGCGGUAAUACGGAGGGUGCGAGCGUUAAUCGGAAUUACUGGGCGUAAAGCGCGCGUAGGUGGCUUGAUAAGCCGGUUGUGAAAGCCCCGGGCUCAACCUGGGAACGGCAUCCGGAACUGUCAAGCUAGAGUGCAGGAGAGGAAGGUAGAAUUCCCGGUGUAGCGGUGAAAUGCGUAGAGAUCGGGAGGAAUACCAGUGGCGAAGGCGGCCUUCUGGACUGACACUGACACUGAGGUGCGAAAGCGUGGGUAGCAAACAGGAUUAGAUACCCUAGUAGUC